rnacentral:rRNA from 1 species
UACAGAGGGGGCAAGCGUUGUUCGGAAUUACUGGGCGUAAAGGGCUCGUAGGCGGCCAACUAAGUCAUACGUGAAAUCCCUCAGCUUAACUGGGGAACUGCGUGUGAUACUGGAUGGCUUGGAUUUGGGAGAGGGAUGCGGAAUUCCAGGUGUAGCGGUGAAAUGCGUAGAUAUCUGGAGGAACACCGGUGGCGAAGGCGGCAUCCUGGACCAAUAUUGACGCUGAGGAGCGAAAGCCAGGGAGCAAAGCGGG